rnacentral:tRNA from 1 species
GCCGCCGUAGCUCAGCAGGCAGAGCGCCGGCCUCGUAAGCCGGUGGUCGCGGGUUCAAGUCCCGCCGGCGGCUCCA